GCAGAAGUGGCUCAAGUGGUAAGAGUGCCUGCCUAGCAAGCAUGAGGCCUGGGGUUCAAAUCCUAGUACUGCC
rnacentral:tRNA from 1 species